rnacentral:rRNA from 1 species
AGUGGCGGACGGGUGAGUAACACGUAAGAAUUUGCCUUUAGGAGGGGGACAACAACUAGAAAUGGUUGCUAAUACCCCAUAUGCUUUCGAGUGAAAUGGAUUUUUCCGCCUAGAGAGAAGCUUGCGGCUGAUUAGCUUGUUGGUGAGGUAAUGGCUCACCAAGGCGACGAUCAGUAUCUGGUUUGAGGGGACGAUCAGACACACUGGAACUGAGACACGGUCCAGACUCCUACGGGAGGCAGCAGUGGGGAAUUUUCCGCAAUGGGCGAAAGCCUGACGGAGCAAUACCGCGUGAGGGAUGACGGCCUAUGGGUUGUAAACCUCUUUUUUCAGGGAGGAAUCAAUGACGUGUACCUGAAGAAUAAGCAUCGGCUAACUCCGUGCCAGCAGCCGCGGUAAGACGGGGGAUGCAAGUGUUAUCCGGAAUCACUGGGCGUAAAGCGUCUGUAGGUGGUCCAAUAAGUCAACUGUUAAAUCUUGAGGCUCAACCUCAAAAUCGCAGUCGAAACUAUUAGACUAGAGUAUAGUAGGGGUAAAGGGAAUUUCCAGUGGAGCGGUGAAAUGCGUAGAGAUUGGAAAGAACACCGAUGGCGAAGGCACUUUACUGGGCUAUUACUAACACUCAGAGACGAAAGCUAGGGUAGCAAAUGGGAUUAGAUACCCCAGUAGUCCUAGCCGUAAACAAUGGAUACUAGAUGUU